rnacentral:rRNA from 1 species
UACGUAGGGUGCGAGCGUUAAUCGGAAUUACUGGGCGUAAAGACGUGCGCAGGCGGUGAUGUAAGACAGGUGUGAAAUUCCCCGGGCUUAACCUGGGGCUGCAUUUGAUACGUGUGAUCUAGAGUGAGGAAGAGGGUCGUGGAAGUUCCCAGUGUAGAGGUGAAAUUCGUAAGAUAUUGGGAAGAACACCGGUGGCGAAGGCGGGUCGACUGGGCCGAUGACUGACGCUGAGGAGCGAAAGACGUGGGGAGCGAACAGG